AUUGAACGCUGGCGGCAUGCCUUACACAUGCAAGUCGAACGUCAGCGCGGACUUCGGUCUGGCGGCGAGUGGCGAACGGGUGAGUAAUACAUCGGAACGUACCCUGUUGUGGGGGAUAACUAGUCGAAAGAUUAGCUAAUGCCGCAUACGACCUGAGGGUGAAAGUGGGGGACCGCAAGGCCUCACGCAGCAGGAGCGGCCGAUGUCUGAUUAGCUAGUUGGUGGGGUAAAGGCCCACCAAGGCGACGAUCAGUAGCGGUUCUGAGAGGAUGGUCCGCCACACUGGGACUGAGACACGGCCCAGACUCCUACGGGAGGCAGCAGUGGGGAAUUUUGGACAAUGGGGGCAACCCUGAUCCAGCCAUGCCGCGUGAGUGAAGAAGGCCUUCGGGUUGUAAAGCGCUUUCGGCCGGGAAGAAAUCGCACAGGCUAAUACUCUGUGUGGAUGACGGUACCGGCAUAAGAAGCACCGGCUAACUACGUGCCAGCCGCCGCGGUAA
rnacentral:rRNA from 1 species